rnacentral:lncRNA from 1 species
AAAAGAAAAAGACAAAUCAAAUUAUAUGUGUUGACAAGAGAGCAUAUAGCAUGAGAGUUGAACGUGUAAAGCAGUUGGGUAAUUUGAAGCAAAAAACACGUGUUUGCAAAGAAAAUCAAAAUCGUAUAUCUUCUUAAUAAAUUAUUAAAGUAAGAAGAGGGGGUGGGGGAAUAAAUUAUCUUGUAAUAUAUGUCAAAACUUGCGUUCACACAUAAUUAACACAUUUAAUGAUCAUAGUUUAUAAUACUCAUCGUCCAUUAUUUUAUAAAUUUUCAUUUUAAUUUGUCACUUUUGAUAUAUUUUCAAAAAGUAAAUCUUUUUUAUAUUUUAUUUUUAGUAUUAAUUAUUUAUUAAUUUCUCAAACUAUUUUUUAAUAUCUAAUACUAAUUAACUAUUAAUUAAUAGGGAUAAUGUGAGAAAAUAAUCAUUUUUAUGUAGAUUUUUGAUAGAAUUUAUUACUAGGUUAAUCCGUUGAAGUUAUUUUUAUUUAUGCAUUCUGAUAGAUAAUUUAUUUUAUUUUCAUUCACAAAUCGCAGGUUUAUUGCUGAAAAGUUAUUUAUUAUUAUAUUCUAAGUAACUUAAUAACGUAAAAAAAUUUAUACUAUCAUAUAAUUUAUAUUAUAUAUAUAAAUAAAAGUUAAACUCUAAUAUACCAAGUAAAUAUAUAUAUUUUCUAUUAGAGUAAUAAUAAAUAAAAUAAUAAUACAUUAAUUUACAUAAUCUCAAAAAUUUGAUGCAAGAGUAGAUAUAGAGUUCACAUUAUAUUUCUUUAGAUAGAGGGUUGUCAUAGUUUUAGCUCAAACUCAAUUAUUAUUUUAAAAGUGUUAUUAAAUAAGUAUAAAUUAUUAAUUUCGAAUCUACCAACUUAAAAAUGGUAAUCCCUUAACGUUUUCAGCUUAGAUAAAUCUAAAAAAGCGUGUGAAACGUCCUUUAAAAAAAAAAUCCAAUUCAACGAUCUAAAAUAAUAUUAACAAGUACAUACAUAUCUUCUACGUAAUUUCUACUUUCUUUGAUUUGACAAUCUCUUUCCUAAAGGGUGCAAUUAAGUCAUGCUAUUCAUACAGCCCCCCACUUUUGACUAUUCAUAAAUACCUUUUUUCCACAACCUUAUAUAUAGGUACACCAAAACCCCCUCAUUGCCUCAUCAAACUCAUCAACUAUAUUGUUCUAUACCCAAAAAAUAAUAAUCAAAGAAACAAACUAAGUCAAGAAUCCAAGUAGAAAAUAGUUGUUACAUUCAAGUUAAUUAGAUAUGAAAGCAGAAGGUUAUUUGUUGUCACUCAAGAUGCUAAACAAGAAUAAUAAUGAAAAUAUCAGCGCGCCUAAACGUGUUAGCAAUGUUGGUGGUUCUCAAGAUGAAAAUAAUUGUAGUACUAAGACAUCAUCGUUGAGGUUGAGAUUCAAGAAUUCGUGUUUGAGGAAGAAAAAGAGAAUAUACAAAUUGCGCAAUUGGUUCAUUGACUCAAUUUUAUUCAAGAUUGCCUCUCUCUUUGAAGCAAUUGUUAUGGUUUCUACCUUAGCUUUCUUCUUAUUCUCUUAUGGUUUUCGUAUUUGAUUCGUAUUUAUAUUUUUAUAUAUAUUCUCUGUAAACCAAGGGUUCAUUAUUAUUGGACAAAAGUUGAUAUCUAAUAGGGGUAUAAGGUUCAUUUGAUUUAUUAAUUUAGUUUUCUUUAUUGAUAUUCUCAUGUUUAUACACUAGGAUUCCCAUUUUGCCGUUUAGUUUUUCGAUUUAGAUAUUUUCAAUAAAAUACAUAAUUCAAUAAAUAAGUAAAUAACAUAUAUAAUGAGAUUUUAACAUCAAAAUAUGAGAUUUUGAUUGGUAAAUGGUAAGAUUUUCAAGAACUCAAAUUUUUAGCUUAAAUGGAGAUUUUGACCUCCAAGUAGGUCCCUUUUCAAAAUAAUUUUUCACCAAUGAGUUUCUAAAGUUUUGAGUAUUGCUUUCAAGUAUUAAAUUUCGGAUUCAAACUUUUCCUUUUGAAAUUGGGUUUGAGUGAGUUGACCCAUUGUGCUAAGCAAUUGAUGUGGGUAUUGUUGUUUCCGGAAAGUGAUUGUGGAUACUUGCUUGUAUAUUGAUUGAUUUAAGACAAGCGAUCUCCUAAACCUUGUAUUCUAGUAGAAUCGUGUAUUCCCUUUGUUGUUUGUGUAUUGGAAAUAAUGGGGAUGGGGUGAAAGGUUAAUUGUCCACUUGAUAAAUCUUAAUGGAUAGAAAGGGUUGAAAUUGAAAAGGUUAUGUGAUGAACAAGAUGAUGUGAAUUGCCUUGUUGUGACCCUUAUUGAUUGAUUGAUGAAAUGCUUGAUAGCAUAAAUGUGGACUUGAUUUGCAUGAAUUAUUGUCUCUUCCAUGUGGUGUGAUAUUGCGUGUGUGCAUUGAUGGUUGAACACUGUGAUGUGGCAUGUGAUGUUUAUGAUUCUGAGGUCAUCGCCGGUGAGUGCUAUUAUUCCUAGGUCAUUUCCGGCAAGUGUUGUGAUUCCAAAGUCAUUUCCGGCUAGAGGAUUGAUAUAAAACCGAUGGAAAAUGGUUCCGGCUAGAGAUAUGGUACCGAUGCUACUUGAUUCGUUUGAUUGUUGAAUUGUGACUAUUGAACUGUAAUUAUUGAGCCUUGCGAGUUGUGCAUUGUAGAACUGCUAGGUUGGGCUGAUUUCUGUGAAAGUUGUAGUAUGAGGAGGUUCGAUUGGAAUGUAAGGGGUAUUCAAUUUCUAGGUAGAUGCCUUGUUUAUUAGGUUGCACUCCUUAUUUCUACACUUGUGUAGGUUCCGAGCCCGGUUUAGCGUGAUCGUCCUUCUUCUCUUACCUUUUUAGGCUUAUCAAAGGACUAUCGAGAGUAACUUUUGUCAUCCCGGCGGGCCCUCUUUUCCUUUUCUUUAAGCUUUGUUCUAAUUGAGAAUCAAAGAUUGAGAUUUGUACUUAUUUCUUAAUUUCACACUUUAUGUAUUUAGUGGUUUGUACACGUGACAACAAGAUUUUGAGGGUUUUAAUAGAAAAAAUAAGUUUUUCUGUUUUAUCUUGUUCUUGCUUUAUUAUUUUCCGCAUUUCUUUCAUUUUCGUUGGGUUGAGACUAACUUGUCUUGGUGGGAAUAUACAAGUGUCCUCGCGUCUAUGUUUGGGUCGUGACAUCAUCAUAGAGUAGUUCCUUAAAUCAUGAUUCAUACAUGUGUGAGAAAACUAUUGACCAAUCAAGAUUUCUUAAUAUGUGAGAAAACAUUUCACAAUUCAUGCAUAUGUGAGAAAACCUUUCAUCGAUGAUUUUCUUAAAGGCAACCUUAAUUCAUAAAACUUAAGCAUAUAGCAUGAGAGUUGAGUAAUUUGAAGGAAAAAAAUGUGUUUGCAACAAAAGUAGAAAUUCAUAUCUUCCCAAUAAAUUAAAUUAGGAAAAAGGAAUAAAGAAGAAUAAAUUAUAGUGUUGACACUAUACAUCUCAACUUAGGUUAGUACAUAAUUAACACAUUUAAUCAUCGUUUAUAAUGUUUUGAACCUGUUAUUAUCAUUUCAAAGUAUAUAGCCGCUAAUAGUACUUAUUAUUAUUAUUAUUAUCAACAAAUUAAAGAGAGGGUCUCCAUAGGCAGAUUUUUGAUAGAAUUUAUUACUAGCUAAUAUCCCCAAGUUAUUUUUAUUUGUUAAUUUAUUACAUAAGAUAAAUUUAUUUUAUUUUCAAAAUAAAAAUCUCACUUUUUAUGAAAAUUAUUUAUAACUAUAUUCUAGAUAACUUGAUGAUAUAAUAAUUUUUUUAAAAUAUAUAUAUUAAUCUAUGAUAUUACAAGUAAAUAUUAUUUUUUUCUAUUUGAGCAACAAAUAGAAUAAAGAUAUAUUAAUUUACACAAUCUCAAAAUUUUGAUGUGAGGGCAGAUAUGGUAAAGUUGAUAAUAUAAGAUAUAACAGUAGUUUUUGUUGGGAAAGGCAAGGCACUAUCAAAGAAUGCUCGGAAGGAUAGCAGCGGAAAAAUAUCAAAGUCUAAACUUUCCCUUACAAUUUGAAUCAAUAGAAGAAAAAACUAAAUCAAUCAAUACGAAGAAUCGACAACAAGUAUAUCAACCAAACAAAAACAAUAAGAUAAGAAUAAAUCAAUCACACAAGACACAAAGAUUUACAUGAAAAACUCUUCGAUGUGAAGAGUAAAAAAUCACAGGACCAAAAGCUCCACUAUAACCCCAAGAGUUGCAAUAUUGUUCUCCAAAAUUGGCCACAAAAGAAGUGCCAAAUAACUAGCAAUAACGAAAUAAGAUUGCACCAAAACUAGAGAAUUAAAGGAGAGAAUCCACUAAAAAAGAGCUAUUGUUCACACCCCAAAAUCAAAAGCUACAGAUAACUAAAUCUAAUCUCCACCGUUGAAAUACAAGAAUUAUAUAGUGAAAACUCCCGGUUCAAAUUUGUGUACGAUCCAACGGUUAACGAAGUGAAGUACUCUGUUUAAAGUGGACUGCCUGUGCAGAAAAUUCCUUGAAGCAAAAACAUGAUUUUUCUCUUUCUCUCAAUCUCUAAAACAACUCUCUCUUGACUUUUUUCUCUCAUUUGUCUCAAAAUAAUACCUAAAUAAGCCUUAUAUAUGCCACAUAAUAUUGGUAUUAUGGGUUAAAGUGGCUGGUCUAAAUAAGACUUUUAUUUAUCCACACCGAAAAGAAAAAAGAUCCUAAAUCCAACAAUUCUCCGCCUCACAACUAUGUGGAGGAGACCGCCAUCCUGGCGAUCAAGCAACAUUCUUUAAACUUCCCUCUUAGCAAAACUUUAGUCAUCAUGUCAGACCCAUUUUCAUCUGUAUGAAUCUUUUCAAACUCAAGCAACUUAGAAUCCAACACAUGUCAAAUCCAAUGGUACCUUACAUCAAUGUAUUUAGACCGACCAUGAAACAUAGAAUUCUUGCCAAGAUGAAUAACUCUUUGACUGUCGCAAUAAAGCACAUACCUCUCUUGAGCACAACUAAGUUUUCCAAAAAUCUCUUCAUCUAGAUCAACUCUUUGCAAGCUUCUACAAAAGCAAUAAGCUCGGCUUCUGCAGAUAAAUCAAAGCAUUUUUGCAACCUAGAUUGCCAUGACACAGCUUCCCUUGCAAAAGUAAUCAAGUAGUCUGAAGUAAACUCACGAGUAUCAACAUUAUCAGCCAUACCAGAAUCAAUGUAACCACAAAUAAAAGGAUUCCCUAUACCAAAACACAAACUAGAAGUGCCACAAAGAUAUCUCAUAACCCACUUCACUGCAUUCCAAUGUUUUCUUCCCAAAUUAGAGAGAAAACGGCUAACAACAACAACAACGUAUGCAAUAUUCGCUCUUGUACAAAUCAUUGCAUACAUCAAACUACCAAAAGCUGAAGCAUAAGAAACUUUCUUCAAAUCUUCCCUCUCAUCAUAGCUAGAAUGACACUGCUGCUUCAUGCUCAAUUUGAAGUGCAUAGCUAAAGGUGCAUUGACAACCUUAGCUUUGUCGAUGUUGAAUCUGCGAAGUACUUUUUAAAUGUACUUCUCUUGUGAUAACCACAACUUCUUGUCCUCUCUGUCACAGACAAUCUGCAUACCAAGAAUCUGCCUUGCUGGUCCCAAGUCUUUCAUAGUAAAAGACUUACUCAACUCUUGCUUUAACUUCUGAAUCCUGCAAGUAUUAUGACCAACAACAAGCAUGCCAUCAACAUAAAGCAACACAAUAAUAAAGUCACCACCAAAGAAUUUUUGCACAAAAACACAAUGGUCUGAAGAAGUCUUCUUGAAGCCCUACUGACUCAUAAAAAAAACAAACUUUCUAUACCAUUUUCACUGUAUUCCAAUGUUUUCUUCCCAAAUUAGAGAGAAAACGGCUAACAACAACAACAACGUAAGCAAUUUUCGCUCUUGUACAAAUCAUCGCAUAUAUCAAACUACCAAAAACUGAAGCAUAAGAAACUUUCUUCAGAUCUUCCUUCUCAUCAUAACUAGAAUGACACUGCUGCUUCGUGCUCAAUUUGAAGUGCAUAGCUAAAGGUACAUUGACAACCUUAGCUUUGUCGAUGUUGAAUCUGUGAAGUACUUUUUAAAUGUACUUCUCUUGUGAUAACCACAACUUCUUGUCCUCUCUGUCACAGACAAUCUGCAUACCAAGAAUCUGCCUUGCUGGUCCCAAGUCUUUCAUAGUAAAAGACUUACUCAACUCUUGCUUUAACUUCUGAAUCCUGCAAGUAUUAUGACCAACAACAAGCAUGCCAUCAACAUAAAGCAACACAAUAAUAAAGUCACCACCAAAGAAUUUUUGCACAAAAACACAAUGGUCUGAAGAAGUCUUCUUGAAGCCCUACUGACUCAUAAAAGAACCAAACUUUCUAUACCAUUUUCUAAGAGCUUGUUUCAAACCAUACAAGUUCUUCUUCAAUUUGAAAACAUAAUUCUUUUUACCCUUUACUUCAAAACCUUCUGGCUGCUCCAUAUAAUUUUUUUCAUUCAAGUCAUCAUGGAAAAAAGCAGUUUUAACAUCCAUUUGCUCAACCUCUAAAUCUAGACUUGCAGCCAAGCCUAGAUUCACACAAAUGGAUGACAUCUUCACAAUUAGAGAACAUCUCAUCAAAAUCAACUCCCAUUUUCUGGUUAAAUCCCUUCAGAACUAAUUUAGAUUUGUACCGUAGAAUUGGAAUACCUUCUUCAUGUUUACCUAGAAAAUCCACAUGUUUUUAAAGCCUUUCGAUAUUUAGGUAACAUAACCAAAUUGAAGGUGUGAUUAUCAUAUUAGGAUUUAAUUUCAUCUUCCAUUUCAUUAAACCACCUUUCGUUUUAUUCACUUUACAUGGCCUCAUCAAGACUCUUAUCUUUUCCCCCAUCAGUCAAUAGUACAUACUCAUUAGGAGAAUAACGAGAUGAAAAAAUUCUCUCUCUAGCAGGUCGUCUGAGAGAAAUCUCCGAAUCAUCAAUAAUUGGUUCUGGGUCACCAACAUCAUCUACCAAUGGAGAAUCAACAACAUCAUACUGGUAAUUUUGAACAUGAUCACCAUCUUCAUUAACAACUUGACUUUCAUCAUUAUGAAGAGUUUCUUCAGUGCAAUAGUCAAAGGAACUGGAUCAACAUCAAUUAGGCUCUUAGUGCUCUGAGAAUCAACUUUCUUGGCUUUGUCAAGAUCUUCAAUUGUUUGGUCUUCAAAGAACACAACAUCACGACUUCUAACAGUUUUUCUCAACUAGCCAAAUUCAUCUUGAUCAUAACAAAGGUACAUUGCCUAGUUUUGACAUACAACUUUGACAUCUCAUCCUUAGCAACAUGCACAAAGGUUUUACACCUAAAAACUUUAGGAUGAUCAUAAGAGACAUUCUUACCAGAUCAAACUUGUCAGGGACAUGACCAUUCAAAGCAAGAGUAAGAGAUAAAUUGAUAACAUAGGUAGAAAUAUUAAGUGCUUCCGUCCAAAAGGAAUCUGGUUGUUUAGCAUCUGAAAGCAUACAUUUAACCCUCUCAAAUAGAGUUUUGUUCAUCCUCUUUGCUAAACCAUUUAGCUAAGACAUAUUUGAAGGAUUUUUUUUAUGCCAACUACCCUGCUCACUGCAAUAUCUAUCAAAAGAAUCAAUAUACUCAUCAUCAUUAUCAAAACGGAUGUGUUUUAAUUUCCUUCCUGUUUGUCUCUCAACCAAGGCCUGAAAACUCUUAAACGCAUCAAGGACUUGACCCUUGAACUUCAAAGAGAAUACCUAGAGUUUGCAAGAAUGAUCAUCAAUAAAAGUCACAAAGUAAAGUGCACCACCAUGAUACUUUUCCUUAAAAGAACCACACAAAAUAAAAUUUACCAACUCCAGCAAAUCAAGCUUCCUUGAAGGCAUAUGACUCUGAAAAGAAACUCUUUUUUGUUUAUCGGCUAAGCAAUGAACACAUUUGUUCAACUUUUCUUGUUUCACUCCAGAAAGCAAAUUCUUCUUAGUCAAUUUUUUCAUUCCCUUCUUGCUCAUAUGACUCAGUCUUUUAUGCCAUGACUAUGAUGAAGUAUCAUUCUCCACCAAAUUUAUCAAGCCUAUAAAAAUGGAGCCCUAGAAUACGUACAAGUUAGACAACUUGUCACCACAAUCCAAAACCAUCGAAUCUCUAGUAAGCUUCCACUGGCCAGCACCAAGGGUAUAAACAUAACCCUCAUCAUCAAGGUAUCCCUCAGAAAUCAAAUUCAAGCGAACCUCUAGAGGAUGUUAUAAUAUUAUUGAAGACUAGUUUGGAUCUAUUGUUACUUUUCAAACAAACAGUCGCAAUGCCAAGAACUGCAACCUCAUGAUUAUUGUCCAUUUUCAGCAUGCCACAAUUACCUGGAGUAUAAGAAGAAAAUAAUUUCUUUUUUGGAGUGACAUGAGAAGUAGCACCAGACUCCACAAACCAGCUAAACUCAUCACGAACAAGAUUGACAAAAUUUUCAUCACAAAAAUAAGAAGAUCAUCAUUAGCAGCAACAACAACACAAUUUUCAUUAUCGCCUUCUUUCUUUUGUUCUCUCAUAUAUCACUUAUACCUAAAGCAAUAUUUUUUUAUAUGCCCAUUCUUGUGGCAAUAGUCACAUGUAACAUUCUUAUAUUUAGACUUUGACUUACCUCUACUUUUAUAUCUGCAUUCUAACCUCUGAACUUGCUUCUCCCCUGUCUUCAGUAACCAAAACAUCGAAGUGUGAAGUAGAAGAAGAUAAGCCUUGAGGUCUUCUUCUCUUCUCUUCAUUCAAGACAUCAUUCUUAGCAUAUUCUAUAGUUACAACACCACUAGGAGCAUAAUUAGUCAAAGAAAUUCAAAGAGUUUUCCAAGAGUCUGGCAAAGUGUUAAGAAGUAAAAGUCCAUGUAUCUCUUCAUCGAACUUUUCAUUCAUUUCGGACAACUAGUCAAGAACACCUUGAAAAUUAUUAAUAUGAUCAGAAAUAUGAGUGUCCUCUUUAUACUUGAUGUUCAUUAAUUGUUUAAAUAGAAAUAACUUAUUGUUGUCAGUCUUUGAAGCAUAGAGUGUCUCAAGCUUGUCCCAAAAUCUUCUAGCAUGUGUCUUAUUCACAAUGUGAUUUCUAACAUUAUCUUCAACCCAUUGUCUGAUAUAGCCACAAACAUGUAAGUGCUCAAAUUCUUAUUCCUGAUCCAUCAUGGAUUGAGGCUUAUUAGAAACAAACACAGGUAAAUGCAUCUUUUUUUAAAAUAGAAGAUCUUUCAUCUUGCCUUUUCAAGUAUGAUAGUUACUACCAUUCAAACAAACCAUCUUGCUCAUAUUUUUCUCCACCGUUCAAAUCGAUAAUCAACAAUAACCUUAUGCUAUGAUAACACUUUGUUGGAAAAGGAAAUGCACUAACAAAGAAUGCCCGAUAAUAUAGCAACAGAAAAAUACCCAAGUCUAAACUUUUCCUUUAAGUUUGAAUCAAGUGAAGACAAACUAGAUCAAGCAGUACGAAGAAUUGACAUCAAGUAUAUCAACCAAACAACAACAACAACAACAACAAGAUAAGAAUAAACAAACACACAAGACACAAAAAUUUACAUGGAAAACCCUUCAAUGCGAAGAAUAAAAACCACAUGACCAAAAGCUCCACUAUAAUAACCAAGAGUUACAAUAUUUUUCUCCAAAUAUAGCCACAAAAUAAGUGUCCAACAAUGAGUAUCAACGAAACAAGAUUGCACCAAAACUAGAGAAUUAAAGGAGAGAAUUCACCAAAAAAUGAGCUACUAUUCAUAACAAAAAAUCCAAAUCUAAAGACAACCAGAUCCGAUCUCCACCGUUGAAAUGCAAGAACCAUAUGUUGAAAACUCCCAGUUUAAAUUUGAGCACGAUCCAAUGGUUAACGAAGCAAUAAACUGUGUUUAAACUAGACAACUUGAGCAGAAAAUUUCUUGAAACAAAAACGAGAUUUUUCUCUCGUUCUUUCAAUCUCUAAAUGCCUCUCUUUCUAUUUCUCUCUCUUGUGUGCCUGAAAAUAAGACCUAAAUAAGCCGUAUAUAUGCCACAUAAUAUUGACAUUUAUUUAUUCACAUAGGAAGGAAAAAAUCCUACACCCACUAUUUUAACUCAAACUCAAUAUUUAUUUUAAAUUUUAAUCAACAUCUAUAAAUUUUCAAUUUCAAAUGAUCAUAUCAAUUAACUUAAAGAAUGUUAUUUUCUCUCGUUCAUAACUUCAUAUUGAAUUGUGCUUUUAAUUUAGGCAAACCCCUUUUAAAAUCUACUAUUUUCUAAAAAUUAAAAGUGUAUCUUGGUUUAAAUAUAAAAAAAUCACUUAUCUAAAUAAGGAUAAUAAAAAAGAAAUAAUUAAUUCCUUUUUAGUUAUGUGAAACACUAUUUAUUUUGAACUAAAAUAGAAAAAUAAAAUUAUCAUUUAAUUAGACUAGGAGGGAGUAAAAUAAACAUCAAAUCUUGUAUUAGGCACACAUUAUUUAUACGCUUCCUUGGAGUAGCAUCCAUCCUCCUACUUUUUUAUUUUUGACUUUUCCAUAAAAAUACCUUUAUUCCAAUCUUAUAUAUCUAUAUAUACCAAAACCCCUCAUUGACUAAUUAGACUUUCCUAUUUCAAGAAAGAAUGAAUUUUGAGGAUUCAUAUCACAUUAGAUUUAAUCUCGAUCAAAUAGUUGAAAUUCAUUUCAAGAAAUAAUUGAUAUUUGAGGAUUCACACCACGUUAGAUUUAAUCUCAAAAGUUGAUCAAAUUUAUUCUCCAGACUCUAUUUCGACUUGCCUUGUACACACGUGAGACAUAUGAACCUUGGGCUCUGAUAUCAUUUGUCACGAUAAAAAAUGCACGUGAUGACACUCAUUUUAUCCCACCGAGACAAGUCAGCCUAACACCCAAAACUACAAUACAAAAUGUAGAAAGUAAGCUAUCAAUAACAUAAGUGUGAAAAAUUUAGAUAAAAUACAUAACUACCACCAAAAUCUGGUUGUCACGUGUAUAAGCCACUAAUGUAUAAAAGCACUUGAAUAGAACGAAGCAUAAAAUAAGGAAUAAGAGGACCCACCGGGAUGACAAGCAACUACCUCGCAACGUGUCCUCAAAAGCCUUAGAAGAAAUGUCACACAAGUCUAGGUCCGAAUCUACACAAGUGUAGAAGCAAUGAGUGAGUACCAAUCAACACGGAACUCAACAAGCAAUCCAAUAACACAAGGUAAAACUAGCCUAGAUUACAAAUACUCAUUUCAUCCCAACCGAACCUCCUCAACUAAAACCUGCACAGAAAUCAGUUCAGCCUAACAAUUUACAAUAUACAACUCACACGGCUCAACAAUCACAAUUCAACAUUAACAGUUCAACAAUCACUAGUAUCACAUUAAUCAAUCACAAGUAUCAAGUUGGAAUUUAUGGGGAAUACCCAUAGUCCAUGCACUCGCUGACAAUGACCUUGGCAUAAUAGAACCCACACGGCAAUGACCUCGACAUCAAUAACAUUCUUCAAAAAUGACCUCGACAUCAAUAACACUCACCGGAAAUGACCUCGGCCUAAUAACCUCGCAUCUCAUCAUAAUGCCCAGAAUCAAUGUGAAUGAGCAUACUCACACAAUAUUGAAGAGAUGAUAAACUCAAGCAAUUCAAGUUCACAAUAAUAUUAUCAAAGCAUUUCAUCAAUCAUGAGUUCAAUGUUCACACCAAGACAAUUCAUAAUACACAAUACAUCAUUAACAACACAUUACCUUUUUCAUUAAACUGCAUUUAUAUCGAUAAAGCUAAUCAAAUGAGUAAAUUAACCCAUCACCUCACUUCCAUUGCUUCCCAACACACACAAUGAAGGAAAAUACAAGUUUCUACAAGUUUUAACAAUGUUUAGAGGUCUUGUCUUAAUCAAUCAAAAGUCACUCUAGGACUUGAGCUUUUCCCCUCCGAAUAAUAUCUAAAGCAACACAAUCUAAUCAAAUAAGUAAUCACAAUGAGAUUUUGAAACUAAUAACACACAUAUCAAGCACUUUAAAAAAUGGGUCAAUUCGACUCAAAAAAUAAAUUCCAAAAAUUAGGUUUGAAAUUGAAAAUCAUUACUUAAAUACGUUACCCAAAACAUUUGAAACUCAUUGGUGAAAGCCAUUUUGAAAAUAAAGGUGUAUUCAACUCAAAAUCACCAAUUUACUUCAACACCCAGUUAGUCUUGAAAACCUUUUCAUUUUGCCAAUCAAAAAUCUCUAUUUUUUUUAAUGUUAAAACUACAAAUGAUAAUGGAGAAUUGAAGACUUAGGGUUACAAACACUUACCCAAAAAAUUUAGUACGAUAAGUCUCCUCAAAAUCACCUUCAACUGUUCUUCAAAAUUCAAAAUGGAGAAAUCCCAAAAAAACAAACUAAAAGGCUCCCAUGUCUCGCUUUUGCAAACCCAGGGUCACUUACACAAUCAUCGCAAUCCUAGUUCAAAAAAUCGAACUCUGAAAAGUUGGCUAGUAAUCACUUUCGCGAGCCGGCCUUCACUAAAGCGAAGGUCGCGAAAGCGACAACCACUCGCAAACGCGAAGGUCUAGGGGAACCGACCCCUUGCGAAUGUGACUAGUAUAUCACGGAAGCAAUGUUUGCGAAAGCGAACAACCUCUCGUUAACGUGAGGCACACAUGGUAAUAGAAAAUUCAUCCAACUUUCAAAAUUCCUAAAUGAUCCUCAGAAUUCGUUCGGAACCCAUAUACACAAAUUAAAUAUGUAACUCGACGAUACUCAACGUUUCAAAUAUAAUGGAACUAUUGAAAUACGAAUCUGAGAUCUCCUAGACCCGAAUCUCGUGUAAAUCACAAGAAACUAACACAACACCUAAAACUGACAAACUAGCUCGGGACCUCUUAAAAUUCAACCAAGAUCUCUGCCUAAGCCUAAAAUCAUCUCCCGAAUUCAAUGGAAUUGUUGGAAAUUCGAUCCGGGCAUCCAAACUCCAAAUGUUAACAAAGUCAACCUAAAGGCUAAAUUCUCACCAAUUUUCAAGUUAGGACCUCAAAUCCAGGAAAAGACUCUGAAUGUAACACUCCGGAAACUAGUAGGCUAAACUAGAGCUUAACAUGUGGGUUAAAGUCGUAAAUGUAACUCCCCGUACUUAAAAAUAAUGGGUUUCAUGUUAGGAUGUCAAGGUACGACCCCCAAGAACCAACUAUGGGUCCUUGAGGAAGACCCUAGAAAAGUUGCAUGUAUAGUGACCCACGAAGGGGACCUACACCACGUAGGUCAACCCACACCCAUGGGUGAGAGGGCCGUAGGUCAGGCCCUAAAAAUCAAGUCCCACAACCCAACCCACGCUUCACCAGCACGGGCCGUAGGUCCAACCACGGUCCGUCAGUGGUAGGUCUUGGAUGGUCACCUGGAAGCUGAUUUGGAGGGUUAAGUUAGAGGGCACUUUGGGGUUUUCCAGGUUUAAUUAAUACUAAGUGAGGUUGUUUUAGCCUAUUUUAGAACACCUAUAUAAGGAUUUAAGCUCACAAAAUUUACUCAUCUUCCUCAUUAUUCCAAAAUCCCAAAUAAAAACCAACUUUUCCCCAAAUAUUCUCUCUCUAGAACUUCAAAGAAAACGAAGAAGGAAGUUGGAGCUAGGGUUCAAUGAGCAAGGUUUUCUUCUCAAAUUCAUUGGAUUUCAUUGCUAAGGUAUGGUAGUUCUUCAUACAUGGAUAUAAUUCAUCCAUGGAGCCCCUUCAAAACCUCAAUUUCAAAGAUGGAAAUUCCCCAAAAGUUAGGGUUUUACUCCAAGUCAUGGGUUCCUUUAAAAAAUGAUUCUAGUGAUUUAAUUACUUAUACUAUGAUUGAAUUUAUGAUCUUUUAUGGUUUUUAUGUUGAAAUCCCCAAGAAUCCAUGAAAUCCCCCAUAUUACUCAAUUAUGAUCUUGUGAUGUAGGUUUGUUGAUGAAAGAAGAGUAUUAUGAGAUUUUACAUGUAGUGAUUUGAUUACUUGAAUUAUGAUUAUAUCCAUGUCUAAAGUAGUGAAUUCUAGAUGUGUUGAUUGAAUAUGAUCAUUGAUCCUUGAAGGGUAAAGUAUGAGAAUUAUGCAUGAUUAUGAGAUUUAUGUAUAUGCUUUAAGAACACUUUGAGAGUAAAGUGAUUAUGAUUAUGAUCUAGUUGUUGUGUUGUUGAAAGGUUAUCCUCAUAUACACACUUACGUAUGAAUAUGAUAUGAUGUGAGGGGUUUUCUCAUAAUAUGAUGAUUCUAAGGUUGAAAGACUAUUCUCACCUAUUGAAUCUAGGAGCUAUCUUAUGAGUUAUGUUGGAUUGAGUGUCAAGACAUUCUUCCAUGAAUAUGAAUUUAAGUCAAGACUUAACAUGAACUCCGUGGGAAUUAAUGCUCAGCACCGAGUGGAUAUUGAUAUGAGAUGGGAACCCUCACAAUAGUAGAGACCGAGUUUCUAGGAACAAUCUCUUGGGAUGGAAGCCCUCACGAUAGUAGAGGUCGGGUUUCUAGUAGCAAUCCCCUUGUCCCAUAAACUAUGUGCCUUCAUAGGUCUUUAGAUAGUGGAUCCACCUAAGCUAAGAGUAUGGUUCUACCUUAGGAAAGUAGGACAACCCCUUUUCGGUGUGGGGUAGACACCGGAUUCCAUGUUAAGCUCACAUGGUCUAUGUCGGUUAAGGCUUAUACCACUAUGAUAGUAUAAACAAUAAUAUGAAUUAUGAACUAUAGCUACUCAAGAAGCUUUACUUAGUAUGUGUGAGAUUAUGGGAUCUUAUUCAUGCAUUACACAAGUAUGCUUUGAGGGUAUUUAUGAUAUGUUCAUCUUACGAUAUGAUGAUCUAUGAGUUGAUUAUGCUUAUGACUUAUGCUUUUUCCACUAUCUUCAAAAUGAUGUUUUAACAUAGUAAAUUGCAUGCAUUCAACUAAAUGUCCUUUUAGCAUUAUUUCAAUGUUUUUAUGCAUGGCUAUCAUACUUAGUGCAUUUUUGUACUAACACAUGCUUUUUCUACAUUUUCCGCAAUUGUAGGGUCCGGUUCUCAAGGUGGUCAUCAUUGUGGCUAAAGAUUGGAUUUGCUUAUUCUCCUAGCUUGUUGGUGAUUCCUCAUGAUUUAAGGACUGAUGUUAUCUUUGUAGUUCUUUUCUUGUAUUUCCUUUACGGACUAUGUUGUAUGGGCUGUGACCCUAUUUCUUUCAAGUAUUGUAAUAGAUGGCUAUAUUGAGACAAGUCUAGACUUUCGCUUUCCUUUAUGAAAAAUUUUGGACUUGAAAUGCGAUUUUACUCUUUAUUGUUCUAUUCUUAUGUUAUGAUACGUUAAGAGGCUUGUAUAAGGCUUCUCGGAGUCUUGCACACCGUGUUACAUCUAGGGGGUACUUUUGGGUCGUGACAAACUUGGUAUCAGAGCACAGGGUUUAGAUUGAUUCUAGGAUGAUGUAUCAUAAGCAACGUCUAGUAGAGUCUUGCUCAUGAGUGUGAAGCGCGCCACAUUUAUGAAUGUGAGGCUACUAGUUGAUUAGGAAACUACAUUUCUUUCAUUACUCUUAAGUCGUGCAAUAGAGUUUAACUCUAUAAAGUCCCUCUCUUAAUCCUUCUCUUAAAAUGAAUACACGAAGGGCUAAUGCUAGAAGAAUAGAGGGUGACAAUGUGAAUGAAGAAGCUCUUCAAGCUAAUCAAGCUCCGAUUGAUCCUUUAGUUAUGUCGAAUGUGGAGGUUAGGUCGGCUUUUCAAAUGUUGGCCCAAGCUUUGACUACUCAAGCUCAAGUUGUGACGGCUCAAGCCAACAGAGAGGUUGUAGCUAUGGUGAAUCCUAAUGUGAGUUCAGAGGCUUCAAGAGUGAGGGAUUUUUCAAGAAUGAACCCCCCGAAUUGCAUGACUCCAAAGUGGAGGAGGAUCCUCAAGAAUUUGUAGAAGAGGUUUAUAAAGUACUUGCUAUUAUGGGGUGACUUCGGUAGAGAAAGCAGAGUUGGUUGCUUACCAAUUGAAAAGUGUUGCUCAAGUGUGGUAUAAUCAAAGGAGGAGAAAUAGGCCGGUAGGAGCAAGUCGCAUAAAGUGGGAGGUGUUCAAAUUGGCGUUUCUUGAUAGGUUCUUUCCCCGAGAGUUGAGGGAAGCUAAGGUGGAAGAGUUCAUUAACCUUCAUCAAGGAAGCAUGAGUGUGAAAGAGUAUGCACUAAAGUUCACUCAAUUGUCCAAGUAUUCUCCAACUAUGGUGGCGGAUUCGAGGGAUGAGAUGAGUAGGUUUUUGACGGAUGUGUCUGGCUUGGUAGUAAAAGAAUGUCGUUCAGUAAUGCUCCAUCAUGAAAUGGAUAUCUCACGUCUUAUGGUGCAUUCCCAAUAAAUAGAGGAAGAGAAACUCAAGAAAAAGAAUAGAGAGGUGAAAAGAACUACGACCGGUGAUGGGAAAUUCUCCAAUGCUAAGUCUGAUGUACAAGGUCGACCAAGGUUUUCCAACCAAGGCUCCUCUAGUUCUCCAAGGGUCAACAAGGAUAGGGUUUCCAACCCUAAACCUCAAGGAGGUAAUAGUGGUGGUUCUUAUGUGGCUAGGCCUAAUUGUGCGAAAUGUGGAAGAAAACAUGAUGGUAAGUGCCUAGUUGGCUCGGACAGUUUCUAUGGUUGUCGAAAGAGUGUCCACAAGAUGAGAGAUUUCCCGAUGCUCAUGGCCAAGGGAAGAGAAGGCAAUUAAACUCCUCCAAGCGGUUCAAACUCCAAUGCCCCAAAGCAAAACCGUUUUUAUGCUCUUCAAUCCCGAGACCAAGAGAGCUCACGGAUGUUGUGACCGGUAUGUUAAAAUUCUUUCUUAUUGAUGUGUAUGCCUUGUUAGAUCUCGGUGCUACUUUGUCCUUUGUGACACCUUAUGUCGCCAUGAAGUUUGAUAUACUUCCCGAAGCGUUAGUGGAACCUUUUUUGGUUUCUACCCCGGUUGGUGACUCAGUGGUGGCUAAGAGGGUGUAUAGAAGGUGUCUCAUUUGCUUGUCCCAUAGAGUUACUUUGGUGUAUUUCGUAGAGUUAGACAUGUUAGAAUUUGAUGUGAUUUUGGGUAUGGAUUGGUUGUAUGCAUGUUAUGCCUCUAUCGAUUGUAGGACUCGGGUGGUUAGAUUCCAAUUUCCAAAUGAGCCUGUCUAAGAGUGAAAGGGAGGAAAUUCUAUGCCUAGAGGUCAAUUUAUCUCUGGUCUUAAAUCUAGGAAGAUGAUCUCCAAAGGGUGUAUUUACCAUAUUGUUAGGGUGAGGGAUGUUGAAUCUGAAACCCCUUCUCUAGAGUCGGUUUCGGUAGUGAAUGAGUUAUCGAAAGUUUUUCCUGAUGAUUUACCCGGUAUUCCUCCCGAUCGGGAAAUAAAUUUUGGUAUUGACCUUUUACCGGAUACAAAGCCUAUCUCUAUUCCUUCUUAUAGAAUGGCUCCGGCUGAGUUGAAAGAGCAACUAAAAGAUUUAUUUAAUAAGGGCUUCAUCCGAUCGAGUAUCUCUCCAUGGGGUGCUCCGAUGUUGUUUGUUAGAAAGAAGGAUGUGUCUCUUAGAAUGUUCAUCGAUUAUCGUCAAUUGAAUAAAGUUACCAUUAAGAACAAGUAUCAUCUUCUGAGAAUUGAUGACUUGUUUGAUCAAUUUCAAGGGGCUAGUUAUUUCUCAAAAAUUGACCUUCGUUCGGGUAUCACCAGUUAAGGGUGAGAGGGGUUGAUAUUCCCAAGAUGGCUUUCAGAACUCGAUAUGGACAUUCUGAAUUCCUUGUGAUUUCAUUUGGCUAAACUAAUGCUCCUGCGGCAUUUAUGGACCUAAUGAAUAAAGUAUUUAGGUAAUACCUAGACAUGUUUGUAAUUGUGUUUAUCGAUGAUAUUUUGAUCUAUUCAAGGAGUGAGAAUGAUCAUGAGGACCAUUUGAGAAUUGUGUUGCAAGUUCUUAAGGACCACCAACUUUUUGCAAAGUUUAGCAAGUGUGAAUUUUGGUUGAGAUCCGUAGCUUUCCUUGGUCAUAUUUGUCAAGCAAGGGUAUUGAGGUAGAUUCUAAGAAGACGGAUGAGGUCAAGAGUUGGCCUAGAGCUCUAACUCCUUUCUAUAUUAGAAGCUUUUUGGGUUUUGCCGGUUGCUAUAGAAGGUUUGUUGAGGAAUUUUCUUCCAUUGCUUCUCUUUUGAUUGCUUUGACUCAAAAGAAAGCUAAGUUUGUGUGGUCGGAAUCUUGUGAGAAAACUUUCCAAGAGUUGAAAGAUAGACUUAUUUCUGCUCCGGUGUUAACCUUACUAGAAGGUACAAAUGGUUUCGUGGUAUAUUGUGAUGCCUUUAGAGUGGGGUUGAGAUGUGUGCUCAUGCAAAGCGGUAAAGUGAUUGCAUAUGCUUCAAGGCAACUUAAAGUCCAUGAAAAGAAUUAUCCGACCCAUGAUCUUGAAUUAGCGGCGGUUGUGUUUGCCUUAAAAAUAUGGAGGCAUUAUUUGUAUGGGGUCCAUGUGGAUGUUUUCACCGAUCACAAGAGUUUUCAAUAUGUAUUUAGUCAAAAGGACUUGAAUCUUCGACAAAGAAAGUGGCUAGAACUCUUGAAGGAUUAUGAUAUGAGUGUCCUUUAUCACCUCGGCAAAGCCAAUGUGGUAGCAGAUGGACUUAGUAGAUUGUCCACGGGUAGUGUGGCUCAUGUAGAGGAUGAAAAGAAAGAAUUGGUUCGUGAUGUGCAUAGGUUGGCUCGACUAGGUGUUCAACUAGUGGAUUCCACCAUGGGUGGUGUCAUGGUCCAUAAUGGUUCCAAAUCAUCCUUUGUAAUAGAUGUGAACCCUAAGAAAGACCUUAAUCCUAUAUUAGUUGAGUUGAAAGAGUCGGUACUCAAGAAGUCCGUUGAGUUUUUCUUCCAAGGGGAAGAUGGGGUGCUUAGGUACCAAGGUCGGUUAUGUGUUCCAAAUUUUGAUGGUUUGAGGGAACAAAUUUUACAAGAAGCUCAUAGUUCUCGGUAUUUUAUUCAUCCGGGAGCCACCAAGAUGUAUUGUGAUCUACGGAAAGUCUAUUGGUGGAAUGGGAUGAAGAAAGAUAUUGCGGGAUUUGUAGCCAAAUGUCCUAAUUGUCAACAAGUUAAGGUUGAGCAUCAAAGGCCGGGAGGCUUGUCCCAAGAUAUAAGUAUUCCCACUUGGAAGUGGGAAGAUGUAAAUAUGGACUUUAUUGUGGGUUUGUCUUGUACCCGAAGGAAACAUGAUUCUAUUUGGGUCAUUAUAGAUCGGAUGACAAAAUCAGCCCACUUCAUUCCCGUCACGGUUUCCUUUUCGGUGGAAUACUAUGCCAAGGUGUAUAUAAGGAAGAUAGUGAAGUUGCAUAGAGUUUCUCUAUCUAUUAUUUCCCAUUGGGAUACUCAAUUUACUUCCCACUUUUAGAAGUCAUUCCAAAAAGGUCUUGGCGCGAAGGUGAAGCUUAGUACAACUUUUCACCCCCAAACGCAUGGACAAGCGAAAAACACCAUUCAUGUAACACUUCGUAUCCAAAAAUAGACCAACCAACAGAUUUCCAGAAGUUUCAGGUGCAACCCACGGACCGUAGGGUGACCUACGUUCCGUCUUGAUGGUCCGUGGUUCACCACCUGCAGCCCCUCCCAGAAAAGGCCCAUAAAAUUAUUCUAAGUCCAGACCUACGUAAGGACCUACAGACCGAAGGCCAGACUAGGGUCUGUGUUCCAGGGCCGUAGGUCAGACCCUCAGACAAAUGUUUAUAUGACAUGACCUACAGACGAACCCACGGACCAUAGGUUAGGCCACAAAUCGUGGUCCUAGUCCGUGGAAUGAGGCCCCAGAAUCUAGUCCCAGAACCCCGUUGAUGGUUGACCAGCAUGACCGUUGGUCCAUCCAUGGUCCGUUGGUGGCCUCGAUAACUUUUAAGUCAGGGGUCGUUUGGUCUUUUCCCUAUGUGUUGGACCCCUAAACUACAUAGUUUUUGUCAGUUUUAGCCUAGUAAACUAAUUAGAACCUAACCUAAUCAAUCAUUCAUCUAAAAUUCAUCAAACUUAGAGCAAAAUAGAGGAGAAAGUUGAGCAGCCCUAGUUCAAGAGCGCAAGGAGCGUUCAUUAGUUCCAACCUCGAAAUCAAAAGAUUUCUCGGUGAAUUUUAUCACCAGGUAUGUGGGAUUUCACUAGUGGUUUCCUUUCACCCAUUAGGUCCCUAGAAUUCAGUCAGAUUCUUGAUUCCUUUCAUAUUAUCUAGACCUAGGGUUUUUAGAAUUUCAGAAGAUUAUUAUGAAUUACUGUAAUGUUCCUAAUUAGAUUAUCAUGAUAUUAGUAUUAUUUUGCGUAGAUUUUUUCAUAAGUUCAGAACCCUAGCUAUGUAGUUCUUUUAGUUCAUGAAUUACACAUGCUAGGUUAGUUAUCUCAGUUAUACAUGCCUCAGAUUUGAAUGUUUCAUUAUUAGUACAUUAAUGUUGCUUUUUUAGUUAGCAUGUCAGUAUUUUGAGCUAUCCAGUAUUACAUAAAUUCACUCAUAAACUGUUAAUUACAUAAUCAAUUGGGAGUAGCUUAAUACCGAGUGGACUAGGGUCAGUCACCCUCAACUCCCAGAACUUCGUGCCCCCGUAGGUUAUAAGUCCUCUCUGUGGGCAUCAAUUUAGUGAUCACGCUAGUUAUGCCUCUAUACCUCCGACAGGGUAUAUUUGGUCCUCUCGAUGAGGCGUAUACAUCGGACUCCAUAUUUAGCUCAUGUGGUUUUAUGUCGGUUAUUAGUAGCUCCCUUAUAGUUAGACUCUAUUGCAUUGACCAUGUUAUCAGUUACAGUCAGAUUUUAGUCUCAAUUUGUUAUAAACUUGGUCAUUGCAUUCAGUUAGUUCAUGUUUAGUAUUUUCAGUAUAGAAUCAUGCUUAUCUUAUCUCAUUGCUCAAUUAUAUGCUUUGUUCAGUUAUGUUUAUUGUUCAGCUUUACUCUAUCUUACAUUCUCAAUACCUUUCAAGUACUGACGCAUACGAUGCGCUACAUCUUUUUAUGAUGCAGGUUCAGGUCCUCAACUUUCAGAUCACGCAUAGGUCGAUUCCCGAUCUUCAGCUCAGCAGUAUCAGUGGUGAGUCCUCAUUCUCUGAGGACGACAUACAUAUUUCUUUUUAUUUUUAGUCUUUAGUUUCAGUUUUGUUAGAUUUAGCUAGGGCAUGUCCCAGCAUUUCUAGUCAGUUAAAGGCUUAUUUUCAGACAUAGUUAGAUUCAGCUUUAGCAUUUGAGUUUGACCUUUUAGUUGUUGUUUAACUCUCAGUUUUUUAUAUAUUCAGAUAGUUUAUGGGUUUUCCCCAUCAUUUUAGUUUUAUGAUGAUUUAAGCUUCCGCACCGUACUUUCUUAAUUCAGUUAUCUUUAAGUAUGCUUAUGAUAUGCCAGUAGGGUUAGCUUGGGGUCACUCGCGAUCCUAGGUCCCGUGUCCGCGUCUUGGGGGUAGCUUCGGGGCGUGACAAACUUGGUAUCAAAGCACUAGGUUUAAGUGUCCUAGGAUGUCUGAAAAGCCGCACUAAGUAGAGUCCUUUUCAUGGGUGUGAAGUGCACCACAUCUAAUGAGUGGGAGGCUACGAUGUGUUCUAGGAAAACUUCACUUUUUUUAUAUUCUUAUCGUGCGUGGGUAUGAUCUACCUUCUAAUCCAUCAUUAUGCAUUUCAGAUCAUGCCUCCUCGUAGAGAUUACAGAAGGAAUGCUAAUGCACGCAAUGCUAAUGCAACUCUUCCAGUCCCAGAUCAGGAAGUUUCGAAUGCAGAGUUCCAAAACGCCAUUUAGUUUUUAGCUUAGAGUGUGACCAACCAGAACAACCAAUAUGUUCAGGUUCCUACAAAUACUAGUGGUGGAUCAGCGGCAACUAGGGUUUAUGACUUUGUUAGGAUGAAUCCGCCAAAAUUUCUAGGAUCGCAAGUUGAUGAGGAUCCCCAAAACUUCAUAAAUGAGGUCAAGAAGAUCUUUGGAUUAAUGCAAGUGAUUAGAAAUGAUAGGGUGGAGUUGGCAUCCUACUAACUUAAGGAUGUAGCUCACAUAAGGUUCACGUAGUGGAAAGAAAACAAAGAUACGGAUGCAGUUCCUAUCACUUGGGAGUAUUUUAGUGAGACCUUUCUAGAAAAGUUUUUCCCAAGAGAGUUGAGGGAGGCAAGAGCUCACGAGUUCAUGAAUUUGAGGCAAGGUAACAUGAUAGUCGAAGAGUACGUGCUCAAGUUCACCCAACUCUCCAGGUAUGAUCCUCACAUGGUUGCCGAUUCCAGGGCUCAAAUGAAUAAGUUUCUGUAUGGAGUAUCCGACUUGGCGAAAACUAAGUGUCGCAAUGCUAUGUUACUGGAGAAUGUGAAUAUCUAUAGGCUCAUGACUCAUGCUCAGCAGGUUAAGGGAGAUAAGCUUAGGGAACAUGCUAAGGAUAAUAAGAAGGCUAGGACAGGCAACUAUGAGUAUUCUCAAUAGAAAUCAGGUGGUGGAAAUCGCUCGCAGUUUCAGCAAAAGUCUUCAGCUCCAGCACAUUCAUGAGAUAGUGUUCCAUCUUCCAGGUUUCGACAGAAUCAGAAAGGUAGGGCAAUAGGCUCUAAGUCUCAUGGGAGUAUUUUAGGCAUCAAAACCUACCCAACUUGUCCAAAGUGUGGUAAGAACCAUCUGGGCAAGUGUCUUACAGGAAAUGAAUGAUGCUUUGGGUGUGGUCAGUCUAGUCACAGGUUGAGAGACUGUCAUUCUUCUAAAUAGGGUCAAGUAGGAAACAAUGGUAGGGCUCAGUCUACAUCUUCAGCAGUACCAGCAGGUCACCCGACUCAGCAAGGUAACUCAUCUGGUAUAGGUGGCGGACAACACCAAAACAGGUUGUAUGCUCUUCAGGCUCACCAAGAUUAGGAAGAUUCUCCUGAUGUAGUCACUGGUACGCUACGAGUCUUUAACUUAGAUGUUUAUGCUUUGUUAGAUCCAUAGCCUACUCUCUCUUCUGUAACUAAUAACUAUCGAUUUUAGUGUCAGUCCCGAAAUUCUCUCAGAACCCUUCUCAGUCUCUACUCCAGUCAGUGACCCAAUUAUAGCUAGAUGGGUAUAUAGAAAUUUCCCUGGCACAGUCUCUCAUAAAGUCACCUCAGCGGAUCUUGUAGAGUUAGAAAUGGUAGACUUUGAUGUCAUUCUUGGCAUGGAUUAGUUACAUUCCUGUUAUGCCUCAGUCGAUUGUAAAACUAGGAUCGUUCAUUUUCAGUUUCCAGACAAACUAGUAGCUCAGUGCCUAUGGGUCGAUUCAUUUCUUACCUUAAGGCCAGAAAUAUGAUCUCUAAAAGUUAUCUCUAUCAUCUAUUUCGGGUUAAGGAUUCAAGCUCUGAAACCUCAACUCUUGAGUCAGUUCCUGUAGUUAAUGAGUUUGAAUGGAAGGGUAGUAGGUUGGUGCAUAUGGGUCGAUUCAUUUCUUACCUUAAGGCCAGAAAUAUGAUCUCUAAAAGUUAUCUCUAUCAUCUAUUUCGGGUUAAGGAUUCAAGCUCUGAAACCUCAACUCUUGAGUCAGUUCCUGUAGUUAAUGAGUUUCCUGAAGUGUUUCCAGAAGAUCUUCCCGGAGUUCCUCCCAAAAGGGAAAUCGACUUUGGANNNNNNNNNNNNNNNNNNNNNNNNNNNNNNNNNNNNNNNNUCCAGAUACCCAGCCUAUUUCUAUUCCUCCUUACAAAGUGGCUUUAGUUGAGCUUAAGGAAUUGAAGGAGCAGUUGAAUGACCUUUUAGAUAAGGGCUUCAUCAGACCUAGUAUUUCCUUGUGGCACCAGUAUUUUUUGUGAAAAAGAAAAAUAGUUCUCUCAAAAUGUGCAUUGACUAUCGGCAGUUGAACAAGGUCACGAUAAAAAAUAAGUAUCUUAUCCCCUAAAUUGAUGACUUAUUUGACCAACUUCAAGGUGCUAGUCAUUUCUCAAAGAUAGACCUCAGAUCCGAUUAUCAUCAGCUCAGAGUCAGAGAUAGUGACAUUUCGAAAAUAGCCUUCAGAACUCGGUAUGGUCAUUAUGAAUUUGUAGUUAUGUCAUUUGGACUAGCCAGUGCUCCUUCAACUUUCAUGGAUUUGAUUAACAGAGUGUUCAAGCAGUAUUUGGACUUGUUUGUUAUCGUCUUUAUUGAUGACAUCCUCAUUUACUCUAGGAAUGAGGAAGAAGAUACGACUCAUUUGAGGGUUGUCCUGCAAACUCUCAAAGAUCGUCAGUUAUUCGCUAAGUUUAGCAAAUGUGAGUGUUGGUUGUAAUCUGUUGCUUUCCUUGGGCAUAUUGUGUCUAGCGAAGGGAUCUGAGUGGAUUCUCAGAAAAUAAAAGCAGUGAAACAAUGGCCCAGACCUACCUCUCCUAUAGAUAUAAGAAGUUUCUUGGGUUUGGAUGGUUAUUACAAAAGGUUUGUAGAAGGAUUUUCAUCCAUAGCUUCUCCAUUAACUAAGUUAACUCAGAAAAAGGUUAAGUUCCAAUGGUCAAAUAAUUGUGAGAAUAGCUUUUCAGAACUGAAAACUAGCUUGACUACAGCUCCUGUUUUGACUCUACCAGAGGGUUUAGACGGUUAUCUGAUCUAUUGCGAUGCAUCUAGAGUCGGCCUAGGUUGCGUGUUGAUGCAACGAGGUAAGUUUAUAGCUUAUGCUUCUAGACAACUCAAGGUGCAUGGGAAGAACUAUCCAACUCAUGACCUCGAGCUUGCAGCAGUGGUGUUUGCACUUAAGAUUUGGAGACAUCACUUGUAUGGUGUUCACGUAGAUGUGUUCACAGACCAUAAGAGCCUUCAGUAUGUGUUCACCCAGAAAAAGUUGAAUCUUCGCCAGAGGAGAUGGCUUGAGUUCCACAAAGAUUAUGAUAUGAAUGUGCUUUAUCAUCCUAGUAAGGCCAAUGUAGUAGCAGAUGCUCUUAGUAGACUAUUUAUGGGUAGUGUAGCACAUAUUGAGGAAGAAAGGAAAAAACUAGCAAAAGAUGUUCACAGGCUUGCUCGCUUAGGAGUUUGUCUUAUGAGCAUAUCAGAUGGUGGUGUAAUAGUACAGAAUGGGUCAGAAUCUUCAUUGGUAGCGGAUGUUAAGGAAAAGAAAAAUAAUGAACCUAUAUUGCUUCAACUAAAGUGUCAUGCCCCAAACUCGAGGGGCGCAACUAGCUCCUAAUGCCAAAACUCAGGCCUGAGUUGACCCUGCUGAACCAUUUGCUACUAGCGCAUGGCAGCCACACGCAAUCAAGAAAACAAACAAGUAUAUCUCGGCUUAAAACUAAGCCCUCGACUGGUAAGGCCCCUGUCAACUGAUCUAUAAAGGAAACAACUACUCCCAGGAGAGCAUAUUAAAUAAAUAGCCAACUAGUACAAAAGUCCUGAUUGGGCCGUCGAGGCCACCAUGAUAUCUAUACCAAAACUAAAAGCACGUAUAUAUCAAGUUAAUAAAUCAAACAUCUCACAAGCUUCAGUAAACCAACAAACUAGGAUAGUAUGUCCAUAACAUAGCUAUACACCCCACACACUAGUCUGCAAGCCUCUAAGAGUAGUAAAGAUUGGCGGGACAGGGCCCCAGCCUACCCAUAAACAUAUAUACAACAAAAGGUAACAAACCUCCCAACUCUGGAAGCUCCGGAGGAAAGGGGCUAGCCAAUCGGAUAGAAGUCAAUCAUGCUGCUAAGGAAUCAUCUAAAAAGUAUGACCGUUUUUACCCACGAUGGCUACAUGGUUUAUGGAGACUUGAGUUAUUAUGAACUCGUCCUCAUAUCGGUGCUCAAUACUACUCCCAAAAUAUACUCGGCUCAUAUGUUUUAAAAUAAAACUCUCUCUGUGGUUUGAGAUAAUUACUCAAAAACUAGCUCAAAGGUUCUCUUAGAAAUUGGUGUUUCCUCUCUUGUUUAAAUGUGAAAACAUUUACUCUUUUAGAAAUACAUAGUCUUGGUAUACUCUUUUAAAGAAAAGAACUUUGAUCUUCACUCUUUAUUCAACUCAAAACUCAAGUCUUAAAAUAAAGUUAAAAAGUUUGCAAAAGACUUUUGAAAUGACUCUAAGAACUCUCUAGCCUUGGCUCUUAACUUUCCUUGAAUUUGAAUUUAUGGAUUCAAGGAUUGUGAUUUGUGAUAGGAAGGAUCUCAUGAUGUUUAGGAGUGUUUUUAGAUAGUUAAACGUGAGAAACGAUCAAGAAAUUCCUAUCUAGAAACAAGUUCACGACGCGGAGAUGCAUUUAAUUAUUUGAUCGUGAAAUAAAUUUUGAGGCAGAAUGGUCUGUGACUACUUCGCGAUGCGGAGAAAAUUUUGUCAAUCCUAAGGAACAGGUCCGCGACGCUGACCUGGUACCCAGAUUUGCCCGACUUGUUCCUUCUUCGUUUUCUAACACCAAUUCGCCUAAAUUCGAUUCUUUUUCUCAAUUCCUCUUUAGAUUCAGAUACCCAGCACAUGUACACAAGAAUCUAACUCAAAAAAACUCUAACAAUCAACCUUAAACUCUCAAGAACAAAAGCAAUUCAAGAAUACAACUCAAGAACAUCAAAGUCUCAAUCUUUUAGGACGAAAAUCAUACUGAAAUAAACAUGUUUGGCACGUGGGUGAACGAACCCAACGCUAUGUGAACUCACAUACCUCGUAGGAUUGAAUCUUUGGCGAAAACCACAACCAAAAUCGCAAGAACUUGACGAAUCUUUGAACUUUUCUUCUCCUUUCUCCUCUUGAGUUCUUUCUCCAAUAACCCUAGCGUGAUUUGGUAAGGCAUAAACUGAUCUAACUCUGUUUAGACCCAAAUUAAACUUCUAAAAACGAAAUAAAUUAAUUGGGCAUGGAAAAGACCAAAAUACCCCUUUAAAAUCCGGUUUUAACUUUCAUUAUCUAGACAACUCAACUUCAAAUGGGCAUAUAUCCCUCAUACAAACUCGAAAUCAAGCAAACUCGGAGGCGUUGGAAAGAUAAUUCAAAGAUAUUUCCUACGGUAUCUUGUAGCACACCUAACUUAUCCUGAGCUAGGAGUUAUCGCCACUUGAAGUUGACCCAAACUCAAGCUUAGCAUAACUUUAACAAAUUUUCCAGAUUUUUCAUUCUUUCCAAAAAUAACUCUUUCUAAUUCUAGCUCUUUCACUUAGCGAGGUGUUACAAUCACGAACAUAAUUUGGUACUGUGUACGGAUACAUAUCCUUCUAAAUUAGGACAACCGUAGAAGAUACAUAGCAACACUUGAUACAUGAUAAAUGAUACAUUUGGUAGAACUUUUGUAUUAUCAAUGCUAGUUAAGGAUAUCUAUCAAAACUAAUAUUUGAAUACGAUACAUUGUGAAUGAUAAAAAAUUUAAUGCAUCAUAAUGUUGAAACGAAGACAUUAUACAUUAGUUUAAGAAACAAAAUCAACUAGAUACAUUAAAAAUCUGAACCCAUAUGCAUUAGAAAGGACGAACAACAAAGAAUCGAAAAAAAUCAACAAUUUAAUCUGCUGAAAGCAAAAAAAAAAAUGAUGAAGAAAUCCUCCUACACUUUCAUCAUUGAGGGAGUGAAAAUAUGGAGAGAUUAAGGGAGUGACAAUAGGAAGAGAAACGUGUACUUGAGUGUUGAAGCUUUAUGUAUCUGGAACAUUGGGGUUUGGGAGGAAAAAGAUGGAUUUUGGAAAUAUUUUGGAAUGGUAGGAAUAAUGGAAAUUGUGGAAAAUAAAAGUGUGUAUAUAGGUAAUUUUUCUGAAAAAAUUAGUAUUUGAGCCAAGUUCUAAUAUUUGAAAAAAUUUAAAAAUAAAAAAUCGCCCUAAACUUUUAUAUUUUAUCAAAAAAACACCCAUCACUUAUUAGUUCCAACUAAUAUCUAUCUACCAAAUUACUCCUUUAAUAACUAAUAAAUAUUCCUCUCUAUUAUCUAUAUAUAGAACGUGGCUAAGAGAAAUUUUUGUUUUUAAUAGAUUAUAAUUCAUCCUGAAUUAGUGACAAGUUUGAGUAUGCGAUUAAUAUAUUGCUCUUGUCAUAUUGUUGAUUGUUAUCAUUAUAAGGUUAUUUUUUAACAAAACAUAUUCAUCAUAAAAUGAAAAUUCAACCUUAAAGAUAUUUUAAAUAAUUUUUAGAACUUAUUGAUACAAAUCAUAUUUUUUGAAAUGAUCAAAUGUUUCUUCUGAAAUUUAUGGACAAACGUUGUAUCAACAAUAAUGAUACUUGAUCAUAUAAUUUAUGAUUGGUAAAAGGGUCUGAUAUACCCCUCAACUUUGCCAUUUGGAGCUGAUAUACUCCUUGUUAUGAAAGUAACUCAUAUAUACUCCUAUUGUUAUACAAAUGACUCACAUAUACCCUUUUCUUCUAACGGAAAUGAAAAAAUUAACUUUAAUUUAAUUUUUUAAUUAUUUUUUGGAAAAAAAUAUAAUCCAUAUGGGGUAUAUUUGAUCCUCCUCACAUGUAUUUUUUUUACUUUUUUGUUUCAACGACUAAUUUAAAUUUAUUAUUUUGAUGGUCAAAUAUAUUUAUUUUUCACUAAUUUUCUUGUAAAACUUAUUAUAGAUGCCCAUUUUAUUUUUUUUACAAAUACAAAAAUUUAAUUACAAUAUAGCUGAAAAAAAUAGUUUUAAAUUUUUUCUUUACACUAAAGAAUGACUGAAAAAAAAGAAUAAGAAACUCUAAUAAUGAUAAUCAAAGAAGUCAAAAAAUAAUUUUUGAAUGAAAAAAAUUAAAAUAUACCUUGAACUUUGCUAGAAGGAUCAUAUAUAUAGCCCUACAUGAAUUUUUUUUAAAUUUAAAUUCAAAAAAAUAAAAUUAAAACUAAUUUUUUCACUUCCAAUAGAUGAAGGGUAAUGUAAGCUCCUUUCGUAAUAGUAAGCAGGGGCGGAUCUAUAUGUAUGUGUGGGGUGCCACGGCACCCAGUGAUCUCGGUUAAAAUUUCGUAUAUAUAUGUGUAUAUGUUUAAGAAAUCGUUAUAAAUAAAAGUUGCCACCCAUUGAACGAAUUGGUGAUUGGUGCCGUUGGCAAAAGACACAGAUCCAUGCACCCGCAAUGCAGGUCCAAUUCUCACUCUCAACAUUAUAUUUUGGAUGCUUGUAUGAACUGAAGGCUUUCUAAGCUCUUUUUUUUUUUUUUUUUUCCUGUUUUUUCUUGUCUUUUUUUUUCUCGAUUGGUUCUUAUUUAUUUGGUACUAUUCUUUAUUACGUAAUUUAAAUUGACUCCUUUUUUCUGUGAUUAGUUCUUAACUUUUUUUAUUUUCUCUGUCACUAAUUACUGAUCUCUUGAUAUGAAUAUUAUGUGUUUAUUCUUUAUUAAUUAAUGAGUAUUGUAUUAUGAAAGUCACAUAAAUAUUACUACGAAUAUAUUUAAAUUGUUUUUUUUUUAAACAUAAGUUUUAAAAAAUGAUGAAUAUUAUUAUGUUUGAGUUCUUUUAAUUUUAAGGCUAUUCCGAUCUUCACGUUCUUGAUAAGUAAGAUGGUUGGGUUGAAACCAAUUUUUUCUCUACUAUAUUAUAUGCAACAACACAUAAAGACAAUGAAAUACGAAUAUAUUAAGUUAACACAAUUAGAUGGUUUAUACAAAUUUGAAAUUUUAAUGUGGAAAAUCUUUUCUUCCUCAAAGUUUUAGAGAAUGCCUCUAAAUCCAAAAAAAAAAGUUGAAUUGUUUAGUUAUCUCUAAUCUCAGAAUAACUAAAAGAAAAUAUUACUAACAUGCACAUUUAAUCAAUUUAUUUUAUAAAAAUAAAAAAAGAUAAAUAAUCCAAAUUGUAACCCAAAAUUAAAGGAACCGAUCCGUUUAUCUUACUUGGGUGAUGUGGCACCCACGACCUCUAAAUCCUAGAUCCGCCUCUAACAGUAAGGGUAUAUGUGAGUCAUUUGUAUAAUGAUAAGGGUAUCUAUGAGUUACUUUCAUAACGAGGAGUAAAUGACAAAGUUAAGGAAUAUAUCAGACCCUUUUCUCUUUAUUAUACUAGUAUACGUACCAGCGCGUUGCACGAAUAUUUAAAAAUAUAAUAAUUUUUAAAUUUAGAAAAUAACUAAUACAAAUUAUUAGUGAGUAACAAAAGUACAUGUGUAAUCAUAUAUAAUGUUUUAGUUUAUAUAUAUACGCUUCAUGCUAACACAAUUUUACCAUAAUUUAUAUCAAGUUUGUUUUUUGGCAGUUUUAUUUGACAAAAUUUAACAUAAUUAUUUAUCAAAUAAAAAUUAUGUUUUUCUGGAGGUAGUCUUUUUUUAAAAAAAAAAUCAAACUGAAAAAAUUGUUAAUUAUUUUGAUGAGACAUGUGGCUUUAUUUGCAAAAGUAUGAAUUUAUAGUAUUUUAAAUUUAUCCUUCUUAAGAAAUGAUAAUUCGAAAAUCAUUCUAUUACUAACAUAUUUUAUUUUUUUUACAACAUAGAGAUUUGAAAUAUUUAAAGUCAUUUUUAGAUAUAAUACAUGGAUUCACAAACCUUUUAAUCAUGGCAUGAGUCUGAUCUCUGUCUAAAUAAUUAUACACCAAUACAAAUAUAAAACUUAAUACUAUGUAGAAUUUAAAAAGAUAGAUAAAUAAAGACAAAUAAUAAUACAAAUUACAAAUUAGUAGUAUAAUUUUGAGAAAUUAUAUAAAAUUAUAUAUAAAAAUGAUAUGCAUCAACUCAAUGUUAACAUUUUUUUCCUUUGAAUAUUGUGCUAUUCAUGACGAAGACAGUACUUUUGAAAAGAAAAUUGCUUCAUUAAUAUGAGAAAUUGAAAAAAUAUGAUAGUGCGGAGGAAAGGAAAUGGAAAAGUGGGAAUAGUAGGUGGUUUAUAAAAUUGAUUCUUUGUUUUAUUUAUUUUUUACUUAAUACAUAUGCUCAAAUAAAAUGUUUUCUGUAAUAAUAUAUUAGGUAAGGAUAAAAUUAAAAAGUUAUAACAAUUUGUAACCACUUCAUCUUAUAACACUCUUCUCAAUUUUGAAUUAUUAUUAUUAUUUUAUUAAAAAACAAAACUUAUGCAUUAUUUUUAGUAAAACUAAUUAAAUUAUCAAUUCAAAUGUUAAAAAUUCUAUCAAAGACUUUUAAAAAAUUAUAAUUAUUUAUAAUUAUAUAUUUAUCUUUUAAAACUAAUUAAAUUAUUAUAUUGUUGUAAGUUUUCUAUGACUUAAAAAAUAAUCCAUAUAUAGGCCAGGCCACACGUAGGCAGUGGGAGAAUUGUUGUUGUUGUUGUUGUUGUUGUUGUUGUUGUUGUUGUUGUUGUUGUUGUUGUUGUUGUUGUUGUUGUUGUUGUUGUUGUUGUUGUUGUUGUUGUUGUUGUUGUUGUUGUUGUUGUUGUUGUUGUUGUUGUUGUUGUUGUUGUUGUUGUUGUUGUUGUUGUUGUUGUUGUUGUUGUUGUUGUUGUUGUUGUUGUUGUUGUUGUUGUUGUUGUUGUUGUUGUUGUUGUUGUUGUUGUUGUUGUUGUUGUUGUUGUUGUUGUUGUUGUUGUUGUUGUUGUUGUUGUUGUUGUUGUUGUUGUUGUUGUAUUUCUUAUUGUUGUUGUUGUUGUUGUUGUAUUUCUUGUUGUUGUUGUUGUAUUUCUUAUUGUUAUUGUUAUUAUUAUUAUUGUUAUUAGUAUUAUUAGUAUUAUUAUUAUUAGCAUUAUUAUUAGUAUUACUAUUAUUAGUAUUAUUAGCAUUAUUAUUAAUAUUAGUAUUAUUAUUAUUAUUAUUAGUAUUACUAUUAUUAAUGUUAUUAUUAUUAUUAUUAUUAUUAUUAUCAUUACUAUUAUUAUUAUUAUUAUUAUUAUUAUUAUUCUCCCCCUUAUUAUUAUUAUUAUUAUUAUUAUUAUUGUUAUUAUUAUUAUUGUUAUUAGUAUUAUUAGUAUUAUUAUUAUUAGCAUUAUUAUUAGUAUUACUAUUAUUAAUGUUAUUAUUAUUAUUAUUAUUAUUAUUAUUAUUCUCCCCCUUAUAAUAAAAAUGGAUGAUCAAAAAUGUUAAAAAUAAAUAAAUUUUAAAUUUUAAAUUAAUUCUUUUCAAAAUUAAUUAAUUUACCUAAGAAUAUAUACUAUCCAUAAUUGAAUAACCUUCUUAUAUGUUGCAUAUUUUAUGUUCUUGAACCUUUAAUUUUUUAAAGAGAUAUCCAUUUUUAUUUUUAUAAUUAUUUAAGAUUAAAAUAGAUUAUUAAUUUUUGGCGGAAUGGCCUAAGAGUCCCUUGUACUUGACUCGAUUUGUAAGUUGGAUCCCUAUACUUACGACUUUGCCAACUAAACCCUUAAACUCAUUCAAACACAAUAUUUUAGACCCCUUUCUCAUUCGAUGGGUGUGCGUGUAGUACACUCAUUUUACACAUGAAAUACCACGUCAUUUUUUAAUGACACAUCAUUAUCAUUAUUAUUUUUCUAAUGACACAUCAGAAAUUAAAUAUUUAAAAAGAAAUAAAAAAAAUUUUAAAUGCAUCUCUCUCUCUCACUCACUCACUCACUGUACUCAUUUUACCCCCUUCCCACUUCAUCUUCUUUGUUCCCACCUUCUACCAUUUUCAUCCCAAAAAUAAAAACUACAAUUUUCAUCUUUCUUCAUAGUUCACACUUAAAAAUUUCUUCAAUCACAAAAUGUGAUAGAUUAUAAUUAGUUCUUGCAAAUGCUUUAGGAUUCUAUUUAUUUUGAUUUGAUAAAAAGAGAUAUCAAGAAAACUUCAAAUUGAAAAAAAUAUGUGUACAUGUAAAUUCAAGUAAUAGAUCUUAAAGAAUUAAGUUUAUAAAAAUGGUGAAUAAUAUAUUUUCUUGCAAAAAAAAAUUUUAAUUUUUUAUUUGAUGAUUUUAUUGUGAUAAUGUGUACGUCAAAGAUGAAGAAGAAGAAGAGAAAAGGAGUAGGGGCGGGGUAGGGUGGGGAUGGGGGCUGAGGUUGAAGAAGAAGAAGAGAAAAAGGGUGGAGUUGGGUGGGGGCUGAAGAAGAAGAAGAGAGAAGGGGUGGGGUGGAGUGAAGAAGGAGGUUUUCAAUAUUUUUUUAAAAAAAUUAUUAUUAUUGUUUGUCUUAUAAUUUGAUAAAUUUUAAAAUAAAAAUAUUGUAUUCACUUGCUUCAAAAUGCGUGGGGUCACGUAUUUGUCCAACAUAAGCUCGGACAAUGAUUAGAGGGGUUUAAAAAAAUAGAGUUUCAUUGAGUUUAAGGGUUCAUUUGGAAAGGUGAUGAGUAGAAGGGUUCAACUGACAAACGAAGCCAAGUACAGAAGCCUCCCAGGUGAUUCUGCCUUAAUUUUUUCGUGUUUAUUAUUUUGAGUGGAGAUAAAUGAAUUAUUAUGUGCCUAUGAUUUAGGAGAAGAGAUUCUACACUUCUAGGAGUAUUUAAUUAUUAUUUUUUCUUAAAACGUAGCUAUUAAUUAAUUACCUCAAUUUUUGAAAUUCAUCAUUAAAUUAGUGCUCAGAAAUUUAAAACUGAUCUCAAAAAUUUUAAAAAUUAAUUGUAAUAACUUUUGGAGAUAAAUUAAUUAAUUUAAUUGUUAUAGGAGAAAAAAGUUAAUCUUGUAAUUGCUAUUAAUAAUGGGUAAAAAAAGUGAUUUACUCUAUUGUAGUAAAUCAUUUAGUGAGUAUAGAAAUAAAUUUUAAAUUAUAUUGUAUUGAAUAUUUAUGUAAAACAUUGUUAAUAGUAUUCAUAUAGAUUAUCAAAAAUGUAAAAUUAGAAAAUAAAAUCUCAUUAAAUAUAUAAACAAUAAUUAUCAACUUAAAGAUAUUAAGAAGCAUGAGAUCUUUACCACAUUAUGAUAUAUUUUCCAUUAAUAAAAUAAAAUAAAUACAUAGAUUUGGUUAGCUUAUAGAUGAACUUUUGGUAAAUAACUUUUUUUUAUAUUGAGUCUUUAUCUAAUAAUAUCAAUUGCAUCAACAACAAAAUAAACAAUAAUUUUAUAAGAUAUUAUUAUAUUAUCAAAUGAAUGCUACACUUUCAGUAUGUGUAGAUAAUAACUUUGACAAUAUUUCAAAAAUAAGAAUAAAAUUCAGAUUCAAAUUCAAGAAAUUCACACACUAAUCAACCUGCAAAAAAAAAAGUUACAAUCAUUAAAAAUAAUUAAUAAAAAUAGAAAAAAGAAUCAACAAAAAUUAACGAUUUACAAUAAUUAUUGAAAAUAGAUUUUAAUGCUUAAAAAGUUGCAAUAGAUAAAACACAUACACAAAUCUCAUGAUAGUGUUAAUUCUAUAUAUGAAGUUUAUUAUAGUGAUUUUUGUCUCAACAACUACGAAGUCACAUUAAAAGAAGGAGCAAAAUUAAAUCGUCAAAAGAAAAACGAAAAAACGAUAUCAACUUUAAGUAGUAUUUUUCAACAUUUCAAGGAUAAAGAAUAAUAUCAAUUCAACUAUAUAAUUAAAACGACAGAUUAAUUAAAAAUAUUGUAAAUUACUUCUAGUGAUUCGGAAUACCAUAAUCAUAUAACACGAAUAUUCAACUUUUAUUGUAUCUUCAAUAGUUCAUGGACAAAAUAAUUAUGUAAAACUAUAAUUUAUUGAAUACAUUAAAUAAUUAUUAUUUUUUAUGUGUCAAGCUGUAUUAAUUAUACAAAAAUCUUCAUAUUAUCUCACAUCUUAUAUAAACAAAUAAUUAGAAGAGAAUAUUCAUAAAAUUGCAUGGUUUUCACAACAUACAAACGUGGAAAUAAAAUAACCGGCAAAAUUCAAUUUCUAUUCAUGCGAAAUUUGAUCACAUUGGAAUACUUUAUAUACUUUUAUAAAUAAAAAAAGUUAAGGAAGAAACGUAUUCACCAAUAGAUAGAAGAACUAACUAACAUGAAUUAAAGAGAUAUUUAUAAUAAUAAUAAAAAUUAACCUGAAUUAUUUGCUACACAUCUGAAACAUUAAUAAGUAAAAUUCAUGGAGUUUCAUCGUUCAUCUCUUUUUCUGCCAUUUGAAAAUUUUGAAUAUUAGCAUGUCCUAUGAGAUAUGAAGAGAAUUGUGUUUUAAAUAGAUAACUAAGAAGUUUAAACUCCUACAAAAUAGUGAGGAAGUUAAAACUAUUUUCACAACUGCAACUUUUAUCUCUAAAACCGUUUAAUAUUUAAUUUUUAAAUUCAAGUCUUUUAAUUAUUUUAAAAAAACGUGUGUAGGUGUGUUUAUGAGUUAGUGGAGAUUUUUUUUUUAGUUGAGAGAUGGUUUAAAAAAUGUGUUACAACUCUAUUUUUUUAUUACUUCAAUUUUUUUAAUCAGUAAAUAUAGAAUAUAUAUAUUAUAAGUUGUAUUUUUUAAAAAUAUAUAUGUUUAUUUUAAAAUGCAAAUAAGAAAAAAUAAACAGUUACCGUGUUUAAGAUAAUUUUUAAAAUGUUUAAAAUUUUGUGUAUCAAUAAAAAUGGUUUUGCAGUUACAUUUCCCUUAUUUUAAAAAUUAUUUUAAAAUUAUAUAGAUUUAAUUCAUUUUAGAUAUAUAAAAAAUACGCUUUUUGUGGUGCUGACAUGUAGGCGCUAUCACCUCUCAUAUUAUAUAUAGAUAGAUACGUGCUUUGUCAAUCGUAUAAAUGCAAGGCGUCAUGCAUGACAAAAGAAUUAUCCUCAAACAUGUUUUUGUAUCUUUCUUUUGUGGGAAAUUAUAUUACAUUCAAACAUGAAAACGGUAGUGAGUUUGAAUUGUAUAAGGAAUAAACAAAUUCAAUUUAUUAUUGUUUUUCAAAAAAGAGAAUAAAUCAACCGUUUGUAACGAACAUGAUUUAAAAACUGUUUUAAAAUUUUAUUUAGUUUUUAUAUUAUUGUUUAUUAUUUAAUAUGUAUAGAAAUUAAAUUAUUAUUAAUUAUUUAAUAUAAUUAGAAAUUUUGUAGUGCCGACAUGUGGCACUAUUUCCUCUCCUAUUAUAUAUAGAUAGAUACGUGCUUUGUCGAUCGUAUAAAUCCAAGGCGUCAUGCAUGACAAAAGAAUUAUCCUCAAACAUGUUUUUGUAUCUUUCUUUUUCCUCUUUUUUCAAUCUUUACAUGCUCUUUUUAUGGUACACUUUGAAUAAUGGGAGUGACAGUGCCACUUCAUGCAUUACGUUCCCAUUACAAGGAAACUUCUUUGAUUUUAUUUCUAUUUUUUACAAAAAAAAAAAAAAAAACUUAAUUAAUUAACAUUUUAUAAUUUAAUUGGUGAGUUCAAAUUGUCAUUUAGAGCUGAUAUAUUCUUCGUUAUGAUGACUCAUAUAUACAUCUAGCUAUUGUUACACAAAUGACUAACAUAUACCUUUUACCUCUAACAAAAGUGAAAACAUAUUAAUUUUAAAUUAAUUUUUAUUAAUUUCUUAUUAAAAAAUCCAUGUAGGGGUAUAUUUGAUUCUUCUCACACUUUUUUUUUUACUUUCUAAAUUCAGUGGCUAAUUUAAAUUUAUUAUUUUGAUGGUCAAAUUUUUUUCCACUUAUUUUCUUGUAAAAUUUAUUAUAGAUGUCCCAAUUUAUGUUACGAUAUAAAAAAAAUUAAAUUACAAUAUAGCCGUAAAAAGGUAGUUUUAAUUUUUUUUUCUCCUUUUUCAUUCACACUUUUUUUUACACUAAAAAUGAAAGAAAAAAUGAAAUAAGAAUAAGAAAUUCAAAUAAUAAUAAUCAAAGAAGCCAAAAAAAUAAUUUAUGUGUGAAAAAUCAAAUACAUAAAUAUUUUAAUUAUUAAAAAUAAAAAAACAUUAAUUUAAAAUUAUUAUUUAUCACUUUUUGUAGCGGUAGGGGUAUGUGUGAGUCAAUUUUGUAAUGAUAAAUGUAUAUAUGAGCCACUUUUACAGCGAGAGUUAUACCAGCUCUAAAUGACAAAGUUAACGGUAUACUAGACGCUUUUCCCUUAAAUGUAAUUAGUUACACUCUAUUAUAACAAAUAAAUAUAUAUCUUUAUAUUUGAGCAACAAAUAGAAUAAUAAUAUUUUAAUUUACAUAAUCUAAAAAAAAUUGGUGCGAGGGCAAAUAUAAAUUAUUAAUUUUGAAACUAUUAAAUUUAAAAUAUUACUCUCCAAUCUGUAUUAAGUGAUGUUUUUAGCUUAAACCGAUUCAGGAGAGAAGGUGUGAAACCUAAAAGGAGGAGGAAGACUCCACUUCAAUUCAACGUUCUAAAAUAAUAUAAUAUUGACAAGUACUUACACAUCUUCUACGUAAUUUCCCAAUUUCUUGUAUUAAGUGAACAUAUUCUACAGUUAAGUCAUGCUAUUCACACUUGCUUCUACACUAUACCCCUCACUUUUUGAUUUUUCAUAAAUACCUUGAUUAUUUCACAAUCUUAUUUAUAUAUAUAGAUAUACGUCAGAUUUAAUCUCAAAGGCAAUUAAAUAUUUAAUUGUUGAUGCAUUCAAGUUAUUUUGAUAUGAAAGUGGGCAAUUACUUAUUCUCAAACAAGAAUAAUGAUGGGAAUAGUCAUGAUGAUAAUAAUUCUAGGAAUAAUAAGGCAUCAUCAUUGAGGUUGAGAUUCAAAAAUUCGUGUUUGAGGAAGAAGAAGAGGAUAUACAAAUUGCGUAAUUGGUUCAUUGACUCAAUUUUAUUCAAGAUUGUCUCUCUCUUUGAAGCAAUUGUUAUGGUUUCUACCUUAGCUUUCUUCUUAUUCUCUUAUGGUUUUUGUAUUUGAUAUAUUCUCUGUAAACCAAGGGUUCAUUAUUAUUGGACAAAAGUUGAUAUCUAAUGGGGUGUAAGGUUCAUUUGAUUUAUUUAGUUUUCUUUGCUGAUAUUCUCGUGUUU